rnacentral:rRNA from 1 species
CCUACGGGGUGCAGCAGUGAGGAAUAUUGGUCAAUGGCCGGAAGGCUGAACCAGCCAAGCCGCGUGAGGGACGACUGCCCUCUGGGUUGUACACCUCUUUUUUAAGGGAAGAAUAAAUGCUAAGUGUAGCAUGAUGCCUGUACCUUAUGAAUAAGCAUCGGCUAAAUCCGUUCCAGCAGCCGCGGUAAUACGGGGGAUGCGAGCGUUAUCCGGAUUUAUUGGGUUUAACGGGUGCGUAGGCGGUUUUUUAAGUUAGUGGUUAAACGUCGGGGCUUCACCUUGAUUUGCCAUUAAUACUGUAAGACUCGAGUUCAGACGAGGUAGGCGGAAUAAGUUAAGUAGCGGUGAAAUGCUUAGAUAGAACUUAGAACUCCGAUAGCGAAGGCAGCUUACCAGACUGCGACUGACGCUGAAGCACGAGAGCGUGGGUAGCGAACAGGAUUAUAUACCCUUGUAGUC